rnacentral:rRNA from 1 species
GCCCUAGUAACGGCGAGUGAAGCGGCAACAGCUCAAAUUUGAAAUCUGGCCCUCGGGUCCGAGUUGUAAUUUGUAGAGGAUGCUUUUGGCGCGGUGCCUUCCGAGUUCCCUGGAACGGGACGCCAUAGAGGGUGAGAGCCCCGUCUGGUCGGACACCAAGCCUCUGUAAAGCUCCUUCGACGAGUCGAGUAGUUUGGGAAUGCUGCUCUAAAUGGGAGGUAUAUGUCUUCUAAAGCUAAAUACCGGCCAGAGACCGAUAGCGCACAAGUAGAGUGAUCGAAAGAUGAAAAGCACUUUGAAAAGAGAGUUAAAAAGUACGUGAAAUUGUUGAAAGGGAAGCGCUCAUGACCAGACUUGGGCCUGUUUGAUCAACCUGGGUUCUCCCGGGUGCACUCUCUCAGGCCUAGGCCAGCAUCAGUUCGCUGCGGGGGAUAAAGGUUUCGGGAAUGUGGCUCCCCCCGGGGAGUGUUAUAGCCCGUUGCGUAAUACCCUGCGGCGGACUGAGGACCGCGCAUCUGCAAGGAUGCUGGCGUAAUGGUCAUCAGCGACCCGUCUUGAAACACGGACCAAGGAGUCGUCUUCGUAUGCGAGUGUUCGGGUGUUAAACCCCUACGCGUAAUGAAAGUGAACGCAGGUGAGAGCUUCGGCGCAUCAUCGACCGAUCCUGAUGUUCUCGGAUGGAUUUGAGUAAGAGCAUACGGGGCCGGACCCGAAAGAAGGUGAACUAUGCCUGUGUAGGGUGAAGCCAGAGGAAACUCUGGUGGAGGCUCGCAGCGGUUCUGACGUGCAAAUCGAUCGUCAAACAUGGGCAUGGGGGCGAAAGACUAA